CUUCAGCGAACCGAGCAGCAGCGGCCGGGCGGCGCUGUGGUCCCGGCCGUAGGUGGCCAGGAGCGCCUGGGCCUC
rnacentral:antisense_RNA from 1 species